CACUCAAUCAGGUGUGCCACCACCCAGCCCUCCCACACACACUUUUUUUUUUCAUAGUGGGUGAGAAACAGAGAGAUAGAGAGGGAAAAAAGAGGCAGAGUGGGACCAGACAGUGGCACACCCAAAGCAGUGGAUUCUUAGUACUGGCACCGACCCCCAAUGAUAGCCCUGGUGGUAAUAAAGGCACACACACAAACACAGAGAGAGAGAGAGAGAGACAGAGAGAGAGACAGAGACAGAGA